CGAACGGGAAAUACUUCAUUGAGACUUCGGUGGAUUUGAUUUAUUUCUAGUGGCGGACGGGUGAGUAACGCGUGGGUAACCUGCCUUAUACAGGGGGAUAACAGUCAGAAAUGGCUGCUAAUACCGCAUAAGCGCACAGAGCUGCAUGGCUCAGUGUGAAAAACUCCGGUGGUAUAAGAUGGACCCGCGUUGGAUUAGCUGGUUGGUGGGGUAACGGCCCACCAAGGCGACGAUCCAUAGCCGGCCUGAGAGGGUGAACGGCCACAUUGGGACUGAGACACGGCCCAGACUCCUACGGGAGGCAGCAGUGGGGAAUAUUGCACAAUGGGGGAAACCCUGAUGCAGCGACGCCGCGUGAAGGAAGAAGUAUCUCGGUAUGUAAACUUCUAUCAGCAGGGAAGAUAGUGACGGUACCUGACUAAGAAGCCCCGGCUAACUACGUGCCAGCAGCCGCGGUAAUACGUAGGGGGCAAGCGUUAUCCGGAUUUACUGGGUGUAAAGGGAGCGUAGACGGUGUGGCAAGUCUGAUGUGAAAGGCAUGGGCUCAACCUGUGGACUGCAUUGGAAACUGUCAUACUUGAGUGCCGGAGGGGUAAGCGGAAUUCCUAGUGUAGCGGUGAAAUGCGUAGAUAUUAGGAGGAACACCAGUGGCGAAGGCGGCUUAC
rnacentral:rRNA from 1 species